rnacentral:lncRNA from 1 species
AUGUCUUAGGAGCAUCAGGAGCUAUGCCCAAGGCUACCAGCUGGCCACUCAGGAUUCAUCUGACGUUCACCUUGCAACAAUGGCACCUCCUUAACAGCAGGGCCAAGAUGGCGGCAGCCCUGAGCAAGGCAAUGAGAGCUCGAACCGGCCACUGACACAGGAGGCCUCAGCACGUGCCACGCCAUGCAUCUCCAGUGGAAAAUGUUUGUUUAUCACUGUUCUGUCCACGGAGGAGACAGGAUAUUCUGCAGAAGGAACCUGUCUUGGCGACGGCCGCCUGCAGCCCAGAGCUGUCCUGUCUUUCCGCCUGCCCUCGUCCUCCUCCUCCUUGGCCGGGAGCUGCUUGUAAGUAGAGAUCAGUUCUGGUUCCUUUUCCUGGAUUUCUCUGUCCUCUGCCGAGGUGAUCAUGGCCCUGGAAGGCCACCAGGUCAGCUCUGGGGGAGGGGGAGGUGGGGGUCCCAGAAUGGGUCUGGAAAUGCUCCCUGUGAAAUUAUUGGGACCAUGGACACGGAGUCUGGAGUUUCCUACCCUUUGCUCUUCAGAAAGAGAGUAGUGGUGGGGUUCAUGGCUGCAGGUUGAGUCUGAGGGGCUCUGAGGACGGGGGUGGGGGGGUGGGGGGGGUCUGUCUUGCCUCCCCUUUCCCCCAGCCCUGUUGGAGGCCUCCGACAUCUCUAGGAUUCCAGCCCAAAGCCUGACCAGCUCAGGCAUCUUGGGAUCCAAGGGAUAAGAUCUCUUGACCCCACCUUGUCCCCUGGGCUGGGUGGAGAGUGCGGUCCCUGGCAGGCGAGUGAAGAUAUCCAGCCGAGAGUCUGGGAGCCUGUGGAAGCCUCUGGAACUCAUCAGCCAGGUUUGGGCAGCAUUCUGGAGACUCAGAACCGUGGGUUUAUUCUUGUUGUGAACUUCUUAUGUGGAUUUUGGGGUUUUUGGACUUAAAAGGAGCCUGACCCAACUGAAGUAAUGUGUUAGUUUUUACCUUUUUUUUUUUUUUUUUUUUGCAAAAUGUGCGUGUCCUUCUCCUCCCAGGACAGGAGGAUGUCCUUGUCCUUGGUAAGUGAGGACACUGAGCAGGCCGUAGGCCCCUGGGUUCUGAGACCUGCGGGGGGCCAUGGGGACCCCUUUCCCUGCUCCCCGGGUCCCGAGGACAUUCCUGUCGUGCCUCUUACCUAUUGUCCCAAUCAGAUUGACCAUCUGAUGCCCUCAGGAGCGCCCUACUUUAGCUGUCCAGAAUCAAGUC